ensembl:lncRNA
AUGUGGGGGAAUGGAAGGGGGUUUCUCAUUGUACUCUGGCAGGAAACAACAUGCUCUCUCUCCGUCUUCUUUCUUUCUGUUUGUUUAAAAGGAGAUAGUUCAUGGAGCAUUGGAUUGGAUAUGACCCAGAUUGUGUACAAGCCAACUGAAGACGACUGCCCUACAGAAGAAUAUGCUGCAGUUUCAUCUGCAAUGCACAGGGAUUCCACAGCAGACGCAUUGGGGUUCCUCCACAGGCAGAACCAAUUUUGCAUGUGUCCAAUUGGCAUGCGACCGCUGAUGUGCAGAUCCUUUUGAACCCGGAAAAGGGCAGGGUAUAAUGGGGCAAGGCAGGGUUAUGUGUUCUCCACCGACGCACAUGAGGCAAGGUACAGAACCCCACACAAAAUAUUCACUGCCUGUAAUAAUUAUUGUAUCUUUUUUUAGCUCUUAUUGUGCUUUAUGUGGGAAUUUUGUCUUGUGCUUUUUGAUGUGUUUUGAUUGUUGUUUAUGACUACUUUUGUACUUAUGUAAAUCUUUUCAUGUUGUAAGCUGGUUUGAGCAUGGUUUUAUCCAGUGGCGUAGCGUGGGUUGUCAGCACCCAGGGCAAGGCAAGUAAUUUGCGCCCCCUAACCCGUGGAUUUGCGCCCCCUAACCCGUGGAUUUGCGCCCCCUAACCUGUGGAUUUGCCCUAACCCCAGAUGUUGCGCCCGGUGCGGCCGGCCCCCCCUGGACCCCCCAUGCUACGCCACUGGUUUUAUCUAUUGAAAGGUGGCAUUUUAUUAUUAUUUUAGUUAUUUCUUCCUCCAUCUUUUAGGGCAUGUCUCAGAGUAUGCUUUACCACUUUAGCAUGUGCAAUUUCAGAUGUCGCGUUAGUAUCUUUGUCAAAUAUAUUUUCAUAAACUUGCUUUUAAAGGCUGCCUUUAUGUCAGGCUGUGAAUUUACAUCCUCUCUUCCACUGGGUGUAUCUCUAGGGUUCUCUUAUUGCUGUUGUUGGAAACAACAAUUCUUUUCUGAUACUGAUAACUACUCUCUCGAGCACCAGUGGAACAGAUUGCCCCUAGCACCACAUUCAUACUAGCUGAACAACAUCACUGAAAGGGGUGGCAAAGCAUACUAGGAAGCUGUGCUUAUUGUAAGCAACACACUUAUUAUACUAAUUAGAUACAGACUAUAAGAAUAAAUAUAUGAUAAUAAAUAAAUAUUUAUAUAUUUUAUUUAAUUUAAAAAAGAGUGCACUGAUUAUUCUGUGCCAUUUCUAGGCAAACCAAACAAGGACACUAAACCAGUCAUUAGUAGUUCAAAGUUUUCCCUUGGAUUUCAUGAUAUUUUUUUGCUGGACACUGAACAACUCAAGAGACCAGAGUCUGCUUUGGGGUCUUGCUGCCAUCUGGUGGAGGGAGAGCACUUUGCAUCUCCUGUAAUUUCAACAACCAGAUGCCUAUAGGAAGUGUGCAGUCUUAACCUGAGCCUUGAACGGAGUCUCAGUUGAAUGGAAUGGAUUGGGGAAAAUAAAGCAGCCUUCUUUGAGAUGCUGGGUAGCUGAACUGCUGUUUGCUCUUUUAUAGAAAAA